rnacentral:rRNA from 1 species
UUGCUGCUUUGCUGACGAGUGGCGGACGGGUGAGUAAUGUCUGGGAAACUGCCUGAUGGAGGGGGAUAACUACUGGAAACGGUGGCUAAUACCGCAUAACGUCGCAAGACCAAAGAGGGGGACCUUCGGGCCUCUUGCCAUCAGAUGUGCCCAGAUGGGAUUAGCUUGUUGGUGAGGUAACGGCUCACCAAGGCGACGAUCCCUAGCUGGUCUGAGAGGAUGACCAGCCACACUGGAACUGAGACACGGUCCAGACUCCUACGGGAGGCAGCAGUGGGGAAUAUUGCACAAUGGGCGCAAGCCUGAUGCAGCCAUGCCGCGUGUAUGAAGAAGGCCUUCGGGUUGUAAAGUACUUUCAGCGGGGAGGAAGGUGUUGUGGUUAAUAACCGCAGCAAUUGACGUUACCCGCAGAAGAAGCACCGGCUAACUCCGUGCCAGCAGCCGCGGUAAUACGGAGGGUGCAAGCGUUAAUCGGAAUUACUGGGCGUAAAGCGCACGCAGGCGGUCUGUCAAGUCGGAUGUGAAAUCCCCGGGCUCAACCUGGGAACUGCAUUCGAAACUGGCAGGCUUGAGUCUUGUAGAGGGGGGUAGAAUUCCAGGUGUAGCGGUGAAAUGCGUAGAGAUCUGGAGGAAUACCGGUGGCGAAGGCGGCCCCCUGGACAAAGACUGACGCUCAGGUGCGAAAGCGUGGGGAGCAAACAGGAUUAGAUACCCUGCUAGUCCACGCCGUACACGAUGUCUACUUGGAGGUUGUGCCCUUGAGGCGUGUCUUCCGGAGCUAACGCGUUAAGUAGACCGUCUGGAGAGUACGGCCGCGAGGAUAACUCUCAUAUGUAUUGACGGGGGGCCCGCACAAGCGGUGGAGCAUGUGUUUUAAUUCGAUGCCACGCGAAGAAUCUUACCUGCUCUUGACAUCCACAGAACUUUUACAGAGAUG